GACGAACGCUGGCGGCGUGCUUAACACAUGCAAGUCGAGCGGAAAGGCCCUUCGGGGUACUCGAGCGGCGAACGGGUGAGUAACACGUGAGUAACCUGCCCCAGACUUUGGGAUAACCCUCGGAAACGGGGGCUAAUACCGGAUACGACACAGCUUCGCAUGGGGUCUGUGUGGAAAGUUUUUCGGUUUGGGAUGGGCUCGCGGCCUAUCAGCUUGUUGGUGGGGUGAUGGCCUACCAAGGCGACGACGGGUAGCCGGCCUGAGAGGGCGACCGGCCACACUGGGACUGAGACACGGCCCAGACUCCUACGGGAGGCAGCAGUGGGGAAUAUUGCACAAUGGGCGGAAGCCUGAUGCAGCGACGCCGCGUGAGGGAUGACGGCCUUCGGGUUGUAAACCUCUUCCAGCAGGGACGAAGCGUAAGUGACGGUACCUGCAGAAGAAGCGCCGGCCAACUACGUG
rnacentral:rRNA from 1 species